GGGCCAUAGCUCAGCUGGGAGAGCGCCUGCCUUGCACGCAGGAGGUCAUCGGUUCGACUCCGAUAUCCUCC
rnacentral:ncRNA from 14 species